rnacentral:misc_RNA from 1 species
ACCUGUACAUUACUAUCAUUACCACCUAUCUUCAAAUCAAGAACUGCAGAAAACUGAAUUCCUUUAUUAUUCUCAAACAGAUUUCCUUUAGGUGCUAUUCUCCUUCCGGGGCAACUACCUUCCAUGAUAAUUCGAUUAACUCCAUCUGCACUAGACUGGUGAUGUAAUUUACUGUCCAAAGAGACUAUGAAUGAGAGAGAGCCUGAUUUGUUUGCAGAAAUCUUUGUUACGAGAACUUGAUGUGGAUUUGAAGAAAA